rnacentral:rRNA from 1 species
AACGUAGGAGACAAACGUUAUCCGGAGUUACUGGGCGUAAAGCGCGUGUAGGCGGCAGCGUGUGUCGGGCGUGAAAUCCCACGGCUCAACCGUGGAAGUGCACUCGAAACUGCGCAGCUAGAGUCCUGGAGAGGAAGGUGGAAUGCUUGGUGUAGAGGUAAAAUUCGUAGAUAUCAAGCGGAACACCGGUGGCGAAAGCGGCCUUCUGGACAGUGACUGACGCUGAGACGCGAAAGCGUGGGGAGCAAACAGG